UACGUAGGGUGCGAGCGUUAAUCGGAAUUACUGGGCGUAAAGCGUGCGCAGGCGGUUUUGUAAGCCAGAUGUGAAAUCCCCGGGCUUAACCUGGGAAUGGCAUUUGGGACUGCAAGGCUGGAGUGUGGCAGAGGAGACUGGAAUUCCUGGUGUAGCAGUGAAAUGCGUAGAUAUCAGGAGGAAUACCGAUGGCGAAGGCAGGUCUCUGGGCUGACACUGACACUCAUGCACGAAAGCGUGGGGAGCGAA
rnacentral:rRNA from 1 species